CUAAUUCUAUUGGCAGGUAGAUGAUUAUCCCAAAUUUGACAUAUUAAAUUAAUACUUAAUCAUUGAACUUAGAUUUAAAAAUACAAUGACAUUUCUACUAUAAUUAUAAUUCUGUAAAGAAAAUAAUACUAUGACACUCACUGCAAUUGCAUAGCCAAAAUACGAUUAGAACCAAACCGAGCCAAUCCAAAAUUGUUCACAGAUCAUGGUAAUUACAUCAUGGUUAAGCUUGAACCAAAAACAUGUUAGGCCGUUACUAAACCAAAAAUUUAAAAUCUCGGGUUAAUUUAAUUUUACGUUAAACAUUUCGCACAUUACAAUCGUGACGUGUCCAAACUGAGAUUCAAAUUUCUAUUUUCUAAAUGGGCGGCGUUUUUGUUUUCUUGAAAUUGGAGUUUUUUUAUAUAACAAAAACAAAAGUAGAGUUAAUAAAUAGUCCGUUAGAAGACGAUCGUCUACAAUUCCCUCUCCGAUCUCUCUCAUAAUUUUGAAACCCUAAAUUCUCCUUACCAAAAAAAUGACUGUAAAUUUUAAGAAGCGGUACUUUCCCGGCGACCUUGCUUAAGCCACCGCCGACUAGAAUCUAGAAAAGGCGUUCUCUCAGGUUAUCGAUUCAAAGAUCACUAGCGAUCGCGAGACUGGGAGAUCGAGAGGAAUAUGAUUCGCGACCUUCAAAGAAGAGAACAAGACUGUUGAAAGGAAGCGACGGUUGAUGAGGCCGUGGUUGUCUUAGCCGCCGUGAGGGAUCUGGUUGCGGUGGUGGUGGGUGGCCGCGGUGAGGGCGGUUACGGAGGCGGUGACGGAGUGAAUUGGGUUUCUAUUAAGAGCAAUGGUGAUCAGAUUUCAUUGCAAUGGAGAUCAUAUUUCACUUUUGAGUUCUCGAUGAAAAGGAUUGUCAUUGCCACUCGUAGUUUUACAGGAAGCAAUUGACGAUUCUGUUUCCUUUGGAAGGAGUUUGAUGUUGUGUCACUUUUCUUCUGCAACAACAAAUUGCAGAGCCAGAAAAUUCUUAUGGUUUGUUCGCAAUCAUUCAACCAAAUGCAUACACAUACAUGCACACAUACAUCCAUGCAGUCAUUCAUACACACAUACAUACAUACAUACAUACAUACA